CUUCACCGAGCCGAGCAGCAGCGGCUCCGUACGCUCCUGCCCGUAGGUGGCCAGGAGCGCCUGCGCCUC
rnacentral:antisense_RNA from 1 species